GAAUAGUUAUGGACAAGAUUCCCUCACAACCGAGAAAAGCAACGAAGAGGUUAAAUUAUAUCUCAGGUUUAACUUUACUCGUGGCCUUAGAACACUUAACUGUGAUAAUGAUGUGUUGCAACUGAUUAAAGAUGUUGAUGGUUGUGAGUUAGUAGAUUUAUAUGUUGAGCAUAACAUUAGUGAACCUAACAUUAUAGAUGAGGCGGAAAUAGGGCAUGACAUAAUUUCCGAUGAUGAUGAAGUUCAGUGUACUGCUAAGAAGUUUGCGGAAGUGUGUUGCUGA